rnacentral:tRNA from 1 species
UGCAUUAUAGUAUAUAAGUACUUAGUGUUUUCAUAACUAAAGAGGUAACCUUACCUGUUGCGU